AUCCGCGCGUAGUAAAGCCACGAACUUUAAAAUAAAAUAAAAAAAUAAUACAAUAUAUAUUUUUUUCAGAGACAGGCACGAAAGGGGGGAUACGAUGAUCCGUGCGCCGACUCACGGAAACACGAACUGGCCCAGGGCGACCUUGGCACAGAGACCCGUUUCCCCAGCCCGAGAGGGGGCGGCAGGGGGUGUGCCGAAGGGAGCGAUACCGAAGAAAGACAGGAUGACAAUCAGCUUCACGUUAUAUUGAAAAACUCUCCAAACCCUUAACGCUUGUUUGUGGACCUGGCUUUAUUAGGCCGAAUUUAAGCAAAAACAAAAACUAGAAUCUAUGGCUGCAAAUCCUGUUCAAAGAGGCCCAGGAGAGUAGGAGACACGGGCAAUGAAGCUAGGUGAUGCAGCGACUAUACAGGACUUUUCAGGGACCUUCUUAAGAGUUCUUCUAUUUUUUUUAAGUGCUAAAUUUAGGUAAACAACUUUCUGAACAGCAAACAACCCAGGUAAAAAAGGUUCCUUUUCUAAUGUAAAAAUUCUUGGCGAUGCAUCACCUAGAAGAGAAUUCAGGAGAUUUCUGACUGUGUACCGCAAACAGCGAACAUAACCGGGGUAAAGAACUCAUAAGUCCCCUUAUGUAAAUGCCUGCUUCCAUCAUUCAAAAACAGUUUAUAGAGUAAACUUAAGUCACAGGGCCACCCUUCGUGCCCUUUCGUGAAUAGUAUCUCAACUUUCCUCCAGCCCCAAAGAAGAUCAACAGCAACGUUAGUAUUUUGUUCUUUCCAAGGAAUAGAUGGUCCUUUUCAGCCAGCUCGAAGGUCCUCGGGAAUGAGAUGUGCUAAGCAUUCGGAUGAGGAUAGUUUGGAAGACAGUGCAGGUCUGCCCUUCACAAUGACGAAAUUGCUCAUGGAUCCUUUCACCAGCCUCACACAAUUGCAGCCAUGUGUAUACGGGCGUAGUUUGACGUACACAGGAGACACCUAGCAAAGCCCGAAACUAUAGUCUUUCCCACUGCAUCACACUGGUAUAAAACUUUUUGGAAGUCAAACAAUAGAAGAGAUGUUUGUCCAGUGUCACUCACAUCCUGCCAACUGUAUAUACAUUUACACCCUCUCGCCAAAACAUGCCUUCACCCCGCUGCUGACCGGCUGUCCGCCGUUCAAUUUCCAGUGGAGUCGCG